AAUGGUGAUGGAACAGUUAUUUGUGGCUGUGCUAAUGAUGUCUGCACACCUAGCAGUCUCAUAUCCUAUGAAUACAGGGAGAAAUUACAUGGAUGGAGAGAGACAAUGCAGACUGUGUCCACCAGGUCAUUAUCAGAAGUCCUGUUCAGAGUGCUCUCCCUGUCGAGAUGGUUCCUACACAACACGAUUGAACGCAGAGUCCAGUUGUCAUUCCUGCUUCAAAGACUGCAAACGUGAUUUGCACCUGGUGGAGGAUGAGCCGUGUACUCCUGUAUCGGACGCUAGAUGUCGCUGUGAGGCUGGUUUUACCUGCACCGACAAAGACGACCAGACAGGAAACUGUAGAGACUGUGAGAAGAUCCCUCAGCUGCCCCCACCUCCCCUUCCACCUAGCAAUGUAGUGGGCAUCAGAAACAACCAGACAGGAACUUCCUCUGGACGCUGUCAACCUCCCAACUGUGACACUCCACGAUCACCAGUCUCACAAGCAGGCAACGCCACUCAUCACACCUCAGCUGACACCAGCAAACACUUGGCAGCCAUUUUGUGUCCUAUGGUGGUCAUUGGAAUCCUAGCCGUUAUCAUUCUGUUAUGUAUCCGUCGCCCAGGAAAUGAAGCCUGUUUCAAACAAGCUCUCAAGUUCUGUAACAAGGGAGUAAGAGAAACGUCGCCUAACAAGACCAAAGAGCCACCUCAUCAGCACAAUGCCAGAGAGGCACAGCCCAGUAUUAAGCACCAGACAGUGGAUCCACCACCUAUUACAGCAGCAAAUAUGGGCCCAGUCCAUGUCCACAAUGCUGGAACAGUCAUCUUCAGUUUACUCAACCAGUUCACUGGUAUGGGUGGAGGGAUGGAAGAGAGAGGGCAGAAAGAGAGGGAUGAGGAAGGAUGUCCGACCCACCCCACACCCUCCCCUAACAUCCAUCUAUCCCAGGAGGAAAGGGAUGGGGAGAUGGACUGUGUAUUCUUCCCUUCACAGGAACAAGGGAAGGACAGUCACGUUUCCAAAGAGGAGGUGCAUUGA
rnacentral:lncRNA from 1 species